rnacentral:rRNA from 1 species
UACGUAGGGGGCAAGCGUUGUCCGGAUUUAUUGGGCGUAAAGAGCGUGUAGGCGGCCAGGUAGGUCAGCUGUGAAAACUCGAGGCUCAACCUCGAGAUGUCGGCUGAAACCAUCUGGCUAGAGUCCGGAAGAGGAGAAUGGAAUUCCCGGUGUAGCGGUGAAAUGCGCAGAUAUCAGGAAGAACACCGAUGGCGAAAGCAGCUCUCUGGGAUGGUACUGACGCUGAGGCGCGAAAGCGUGGGGAGCGAACAGG